AAGGGGUGAGAGAGAAGCUGGUG
rnacentral:miRNA from 1 species